rfam:Schistosoma curassoni strain Dakar, Senegal genome assembly, scaffold: SCTD_scaffold0012994
ACACAACUGAUGAGUCUCAAAUAGAACGAAACACACGUCCUGGAU